UAUGUGAUCGUCUCUCGCAUAUCAAUAAGCGGAGGAAAAGAAACUAACAAGGAUUCCCUUAGUAACGACGAGUGAAGCGGGAAGAGCUCAAAUUUGAAAUCUUCAAGGUUUUACCUUGACGAAUUGUAGUUUAAAGAAGUGUUUUCUGUUGAAGUUUUGGUAAAAGUUCUUUGGAAUAGGACAUCAUAGAGGGUGAGAAUCCCGUAUUUGACCAUUAUUUUCAGCUGUGUGAUACACUUUCAAAGAGUCGGAUUGUUUGGGAAUGCAGUCCAAAAUGGGUGGUAAAUUUCAUCUAAAGCUAAAUAUUGGCGAGAGACCGAUAGCGAACAAGUACCGUGAGGGAAAGAUGAAAAGAACUUUGAAAAGAGAGUUAAACAGUACGUGAAAUUGUCAAAAGGGAAGCGUUUGACACCAGUGUUGUUUUCUCGAAAAUCAAUUAAAAAGAGUUUGAUUUUGUUGUGUAUUGACCUUAACAGCUUGCAUUUCAAUUUUCUUGCUUUUUUUAAUGCACUUUUCGUUUAACAAGUCAACAUCAGUUUCUUUUGUUGUAAAAAGGUCAUUGGAAGGUGGCUUUCUUUUCGGAGAAAGUGUUUAUAGCCUUUGACUCCUGCAAUCGGAGAGACUGAGGUCUGCAGCGUAGAUCCUUCGGGGUUAGAUACAUUUGUGCUAAGUUAUAGCUUUUUAUAGACAACUUGUUGACUAUGAUUAGUCUUGUAGCUUACUCGCUUAUGCUAUUUUACCUACGCUUAGGAUGUUGAAGAUGUAGCACAUCAU
rnacentral:rRNA from 1 species